AGCGAACGCUGGCGGCAGGCUUAACACAUGCAAGUCGAGCGGGCGUAGCAAUACGUCAGCGGCAGACGGGUGAGUAACGCGUGGGAACGUACCUUUUGGUUCGGAACAACACAGGGAAACUUGUGCUAAUACCGGAUAAGCCCUUACGGGGAAAGAUUUAUCGCCGAAAGAUCGGCCCGCGUCUGAUUAGCUAGUUGGUAGGGUAACGGCCUACCAAGGCGACGAUCAGUAGCUGGUCUGAGAGGAUGAUCAGCCACAUUGGGACUGAGACACGGCCCAAACUCCUACGGGAGGCAGCAGUGGGGAAUAUUGGACAAUGGGCGCAAGCCUGAUCCAGCCAUGCCGCGUGAGUGAUGAAGGCCCUAGGGUUGUAAAGCUCUUUUGUGCGGGAAGAUAAUGACGGUACCGCAAGAAUAAGCCCCGGCUAACUUCGUGCCAGCAGCCGCGGUAAUACGAAGGGGGCUAGCGUUGCUCGGAAUCACUGGGCGUAAAGGGUGCGUAGGCGGGUCUUUAAGUCAGGGGUGAAAUCCUGGAGCUCAACUCCAGAACUGCCUUUGAUACUGAAGAUCUUGAGUUCGGGAGAGGUGAGUGGAACUGCGAGUGUAGAGGUGAAAUUCGUAGAUAUUCGCAAGAACACCAGUGGCGAAGGCGGCUCACUGGCCCGAUACUGACGCUGAGGCACGAAAGCGUGGGGAGCAAACAGG
rnacentral:rRNA from 1 species